rnacentral:lncRNA from 1 species
AUUUUCUCUUGCUGCCGCCAGGUAAGAAGUGCCCUUCACCUUCUGAGGCCUCCCCAGCCAUGUGGAACUAGCCAUCUUUCUCCUCUCUUUUAACAAAGCACCCUCGCUGUUGGUCCCUGCAAGCUUCAAAGAAUAAAAGGCAAUGCAGAGAAGGCUGGAGAUCAGGAGAGCAAUGGUGUAUUUCCAGUUUGAGUCCGAAGGCCUGGGAGUCAGCAGAGCUGCUGGUAUAUUUAUGCCCAAAGGCCAAUAAACUCAAGACCCAGGAAAAGCCGAUGUUUCCAUUUGAGUCCAAAGUUCUGGAAGCUAAAAGUCCAAGAUCAAGGUGUUGGCAGAGUUGAUUCCUUCCAAGGACUGAGGGAGAAUUUGUUCCACGCCUCUGUCCUGGUUUCUUGUGGUUUGCUGGCAAUCUUUGGCAUUCCUUGGCUUAUAGAUACAUCAUCCCAAUAUUUGCCUA